rnacentral:rRNA from 1 species
UACGAAGGGGGCUAGCGUUGCUCGGAAUUACUGGGCGUAAAGCGUGCGCAGGCGGCGCGUUAAGACAGGUGUGAAAGCCCCGAGCUUAACUUGGGAAUUGCGCUUGUGACUGGCGUGCUGGAGUGUGGCAGAGGGAGGUGGAAUUCCACGUGUAGCAGUGAAAUGCGUAGAGAUGUGGAGGAACACCGAUGGCGAAGGCAGCCUCCUGGGCCAGCACUGACGCUCAUGCACGAAAGCGUGGGGAGCAAACAGG